AGUGAACGCUGGCGGUAGGCCUAACACAUGCAAGUCGAACGGCAGCACAGUACUAGCUUGCUCUUACGGGUGGCGAGUGGCGGACGGGUGAGGAAUACAUCGGAAUCUACUUUUUCGUGGGGGAUAACGUAGGGAAACUUACGCUAAUACCGCAUACGACCUACGGGUGAAAGCAGGGGAUCUUCUGACCUUGCGCGAUUGAAUGCGCCGAUGUCGGAUUAGCUAGUUGGCGGGGUAAAGGCCCACCAAGGCGACGAUCCGUAGCUGGUCUGAGUGGAUGAUCAGCGACACUGGAACUGAGACACGGUCCAGACUCCUACGGGAGGCAGCAGUGGGGAAUAUGGGACAAUGGGCGCAAGCCUGAUCCAGCCAUACCGCGUGUGUGAAGAAGGCCUUCGGGUUGUAAAGCCCGUUUGUUGGGUAAGAAAAGCAGCAGGCUAAUACCCAGCUUUUGUGACGGUACCGAAAGAAUAAGCACCGGCUAACUUCGUG
rnacentral:rRNA from 1 species